ACUCCUACGGGAGGCAGCAGUGGGGAAUAUUGGACAAUGGGGGAAACCCGAUCCAGCCAUGCCGCGUGUGUGAAGAAGGCCUUCGGGCUUUGUAAAGCACUUUCAGUGGGGAGGAAAGGUUGAUGGUUAAUACCUAUCAGCUGUGACGUUACCCCAAGAAGAAGCACCGGCUAACUCCGUGCCAGCAGCCGCGGUAAUACGGAGGGUGCAAGCGUUAAUCGGAAUUACUGGGCGUAAAGCGUGCGCAGGCGGUCUGUUAAGCGAGAUGUGAAAGCCCCGGGCUCAACCUGGGAACUGCAUUUCGAACUGGCAGACUAGAGUCUUGUAGAGGGGGUAGAAUUCCAGGUGUAGC
rnacentral:rRNA from 1 species